UCUAUCUGCGAGAUUAUGGGGUCCGGGGUCGACAUAAGAUUCAUGACCUGUGGAGCUCUACUGUAUAUCAGGUGGUAAAAGCCCCUCUGUCUGGUGGUUCAGUGUAUACAGUGGCUCCGGUUAACGACCUGACUCAAGUCCGGCAUGUCCAUCGGUCAGCAUUGAAACCUCGAGUCCAAGGGGAGGCAGUAGCGGAGGACCUCUCCGAAAGUUCAGUCGAUUCACCCGUGCCCUCAGAACCUGAGGAAGAAUUGGAAGAUGGGGACUUGGCAUAUGUGGUUUCCGAGGUCCCAUCGUCAGCUCCUGGAGGGAGCACCUUGAGACCAGAUCUAUCUGGAACAGUGCUGGUUGAUCCCCCAGCACCCACAGAAGCAUCCCAUGGGGAGUUGGUAUCUGAAGAGAGAACCCUCCCCUUGGAGUCUCCUAAUCCAUUAGAGGUGGUUCCACGCCGGACGGAACGAGUAGGGGCAGGUCAACAUUCUAAUGUGCACCGUUUACCACGGACAAUAGGAGCUGGAAAUGUGAAUCCUCCAGCCUGUGGGGCCAAUGCAGUUAUGGCAUGGUUUAGGCCUUGGAACUAGGGUCUCGUGUUUAAAUAUUUCACCGUCGGGACGACGAUGAAGAAGGGGGGAGUAGAAUGUAGCAGUACGAUCUGCCCUCCCCUGAUGUCAUCUAGUAAAUUGAGGGCGUGUCUGGUUAGGGUUGUUUAUCUGCCUAUAAAAUUGUUUCCGUUUGUGCUAUGUGUGUGCGUUCGUCCGGUGUAAGCGAGCGAGUCACCGUACUUCCGGGCUUUUGUGUGCAUGGUGACGAGGUAGGAGCGUUUGCAGUGAGUGUUUUGAAAUGCUGAUGGUCUUGCACUGGCUUUACGAACCGAUUUUACUUAGGUGGACUGAGGAGCUUUUCGGGAAGUCCUUUAAUCGUGGUCCGUUAUGGAGACAGUCGUUUUGUACAGCUACAUCUGUGCUUCAUGAGUCGCAGUACAGGUGCGGGUCAACGUGCAAGGGACGUCGCAGUGGGCUGCUGUAGUGGGCUUGUCGUUUGCUGGGUGGCUUUUCUGCACUGUGCAUCGUUUAAUAGUUUUUAUGUUUCGCCGACUAACUGUUACCUGUUCUAUCCAACUACGGCUGCUUCACGCUGUGUCUAAUUUGUUUGCUUCGUUUUGCUCAGCUGCACGUCUCAUUCCAUACAUUUGGUCUUUGGAACUACGCUCUUCCAUCUGCUUUCAUGCGGCUGCAUUAACAGCGGAUUUAUAUUGACGUUAAUAUAACGUUGUCGGGUGACGAAUGUGUAUUGCUGCAUCAACUGAGAACUUGCAGGGUCAGCUGGUCUGCGGUCUGGACUCGGGGUAUGGCGUUUAUUUCCCACCAGUAAUGUGAGUAACUGAUGGAAACGUGGCGUGCAACAGGGUAAUUGCUAUCUAACUGUCACUAGCAUUGUUCUCUUCCGUCUGGGGUUAUUGUGUUCGAUGUAAUUGUGUAUUUUGUAUUAUUCUCCUUUGUUUAUUAUAAUUUUUCAUGAUUUCAUUUUUUUUUUUUUUUGUUAUUUGUUUGACUUUGUAGUAUGUCUUUUGGUUCUUGAUCAAUCCAGUGGAUUUAUUAUUAUUAUUAUAUUAUUGUUGUUCUUUUUGUGUACCUGUGUUUGGUGGUUCUUUGUACCAGCGUUCUGCUUCUUUCUGUCUGCUGGUAACCCAGUAGCUGGGCCACUUUAUGGAACCAGUAGUUUUGGAUGUGACUGUUGAGAACCAGGUUGCUGUAUGUGAUGCUUGUUUUAAUUUAUGUGUUUUCGAACUGUGAUUCUGUUUCUUUUCCCUUCAGCAGUGGGGUGGCCGCCGGCAGCAGUGUAGCCUCUUGUGGUGGUGGCCCCUUUACCUAUUUGCAGUGAUCACAGUGGAGUGUGCCGUGCUGGGGUGUGUGUGUGUGUGUGUGCACGCGUGAAUGCUAUCUCCUCUGCUCAAAGGAUGCCAGGCCUUCCCCCUCCUUGAAGUGGGACGUUUUGUUGUUUCUAAUUAUUUGAUAUAGUGUAUAAAAUUUGAAUCAAUUUCAAAUAAAGUUGUCUUAACUUAA